GCCUCUAUGGUCUAGUUGGUUAUGACGCAGGUCUCAUACUUUGAUAUGACAUUUCUGUUAACAGAAAUGACUUGUGCGACAUCCUGAGGUCCCCAGUUCGAUCCUGGGUGGAGGCA